GACGAACGCUGGCGGCGUGCUUAACACAUGCAAGUCGAACGGUAAGGCCCUUCGGGGUACACGAGUGGCGAACGGGUGAGUAACACGUGGGUGAUCUGCCCUGCACUUCGGGAUAAGCCUGGGAAACUGGGUCUAAUACCGGAUAGGACCACUGCCUGCAUGGGUGGUGGUGGAAAGCUUUUGCGGUGUGGGAUGGGCCCGCGGCCUAUCAGCUUGUGGGUGGGGUGAUGGCCUACCAAGGCGACGACGGGUAGCCGGCCUGGGAGGGUGACCGGCCACACUGGGACUGGGAUACGGCCCAGACUCCUACGGGAGGCAGCAGUGGGGAAUAUUGCACAAUGGGCGCAAGCCUGAUGCAGCGACGCCGCGUGAGGGAUGACGGCCUUCGGGUUGUAAACCUCUUUCAGCACCGACGAAGCGCAAGUGACGGUAGGUGCAGAAGAAGGACCGGCCAACUACGUGCCAGCCGCCGCGGUAACAC
rnacentral:rRNA from 1 species